UACGUAGGGUGCAAGCGUUAAUCGGAAUUACUGGGCGUAAAGCGUGCGCAGGCGGUUAUGUAAGACAGGUGUGAAAUCCCCGGGCUUAACCUGGGAACUGCAGUCGAUACUGGCGGACUAGAGUACGGUAGAGGGGUGGCGGAACUCCGGGGUGUAGCGGUGAAAUGCGCAGAUAUCAGGAAGAACACCUAUGGCGAAGGCAGCUCUCUGGGACGGUACUGACGCUGAGACGCGAAAGCGUGGGGAGCGAACAGG
rnacentral:rRNA from 1 species